rnacentral:rRNA from 1 species
GAUGAACGCUGGCGGCGUGCCUAAUACAUGCAAGUCGAGCGAACAGACGAGGAGCUUGCUCCUCUGAUGUUAGCGGCGGACGGGUGAGUAACACGUGGAUAACCUACCUAUAAGACUGGGAUAACUUCGGGAAACCGGAGCUAAUACCGGAUAACAUGUUGAACCGCAUGGUUCAACAGUGAAAGACGGUCUUGCUGUCACUUAUAGAUGGAUCCGCGCCGCAUUAGCUAGUUGGUAAGGUAACGGCUUACCAAGGCAACGAUGCGUAGCCGACCUGAGAGGGUGAUCGGCCACACUGGAACUGAGACACGGUCCAGACUCCUACGGGAGGCAGCAGUAGGGAAUCUUCCGCAAUGGGCGAAAGCCUGACGGAGCAACGCCGCGUGAGUGAAGAAGGUCUUCGGAUCGUAAAACUCUGUUAUUAGGGAAGAACAAAUGUGUAAGUAACUAUGCACGUCUUGACGGUACCUAAUCAGAAAGCCACGUCUAACUACGUG